GAUGAGCGCUGGCGGCGUGCCUAAUACAUGCAAGUCGAGCGAACAGACGAGGAGCUUGCUCCUCUGACGUUAGCGGCGGACGGGUGAGUAACACGUGGAUAACCUACCUAUAAGACUGGGAUAACUUCGGGAAACCGGAGCUAAUACCGGAUAAUAUAUUGAACCGCAUGGUUCAAUAGUGAAAGACGGUUUUGCUGUCACUUAUAGAUGGAUCCGCGCCGCAUUAGCUAGUUGGUAAGGUAACGGCUUACCAAGGCGACGAUGCGUAGCCGACCUGAGAGGGUGAUCGGCCACACUGGAACUGAGAGACGGUCCAGACUCCUACGGGAGGCAGCAGUAGGGAAUCUUCCGCAAUGGGCGAAAGCCUGACGGAGCAACGCCGCGUGAGUGAUGAAGGUCUUCGGAUCGUAAAACUCUGUUAUUAGGGAAGAACAAAUGUGUAAGUAACUAUGCACGUCUUGACGGUACCUAAUCAGAAAGCCACGGCUAACUACGUG
rnacentral:rRNA from 1 species